UACAGAGGUCCCGAGCGUUGUUCGGAUUCACUGGGCGUCAAGGGUGCGUAGGUGGUUGGGUAAGUCUGAUGUGAAAUCUCCGGGCUCAACCCGGAAAUGGCAUUGGAUACUAUUCGGCUAGAGGUUUGGAGGGGGGACUGGAAUUCUCGGUGUAGCAGUGAAAUGCGUAGAUAUCGAGAGGAACACCAGUGGCGAAGGCGAGUCCCUGGACAACACCUGACACUGAGGCACGAAAGCUAGGGGAGCAAACAGG
rnacentral:rRNA from 1 species